UACGUAGGGGGCAAGCGUUGUCCGGAAUCAUUGGGCGUAAAGAGCGUGUAGGCGGCCAGAAAAGUCCGCUGUGAAAACUCGAGGCUCAACUUCGAGCUGUCGGUGGAAAUUUUCUGGCUAGAGUCCGGAAGAGGAGAAUGGAAUUCCUGGUGUAGCGGUGAAAUGCGCAGAUAUCAGGAAGAACACCAAUGGCGAAGGCAGCUCGCUGGGACGGUACUGACGCUGAGGCGCGAAAGCGUGGGGAGCAAACAGG
rnacentral:rRNA from 1 species